rnacentral:rRNA from 1 species
UGGGGAAUUUUGGACAAUGGGCGCAAGCCUGAUCCAGCCAUGCCGCGUGCAGGAUGAAGGCCUUCGGGUUGUAAACUGCUUUUGUACGGAACGAAAAGACUCUGGUUAAUACCUGGGGUCCAUGACGGUACCGUAAGAAUAAGCACCGGCUACUACGUGCCAGCAGCCGCGGUAAUACGUAGGGUGCAAGCGUUAAUCGGAAUUACUGGGCGUAAAGCGUGCGCAGGCGGUGAUGUAAGACAGGUGUGAAAUCCCCGGGCUUAACCUGGGAAUUGCAUUUGUGACUGCAUAGCUGGAGUACGGUAGAGGGGGAUGGAAUUCCGCGUGUAGCAGUGAAAUGCGUAGAUAUGCGGAGGAACACCGAUGGCGAAGGCAAUCCCCUGGACCUGUACUGACGCUCAUGCACGAAAGCGUGGGGAGCAAACA